UACGUAGGGUGCAAGCGUUGUCCGGAAUUAUUGGGCGUAAAGAGCUCGUAGGCGGUUUGUCGCGUCGGCUGUGAAAACUCGGGGCUCAACCCCGAGCCUGCAGUCGAUACGGGCAGACUAGAGUGCUGUAGGGGAGACUGGAAUUCCUGGUGUAGCGGUGAAAUGCGCAGAUAUCAGGAGGAACACCAAUGGCGAAGGCAGAUCUCUGGGCCGUAACUGACGCUGAGGAGCGAAAGCAUGGGGAGCGAACAGG
rnacentral:rRNA from 1 species